GACGAACGCUGGCGGCGUGCUUAACACAAGCAAGUCGAACGAUGAAGCCGGAGCUUGCUCUGGUGAAUUAGUGGCGAACGGGUGAGUAACACGUGAGUAACCUGCCCUGACUCUGGGAUAACUGCGGGAAACUGUAGCUAAUACCGGAUACGACCCUCGGAGGCAUCUCCUGGGGGUGGAAAGAAUUUCGGUCAAGGAUGGACUCGCGGCCUAUCAGCUAGUUGGUGAGGUAAAGGCUCACCAAGGCGACGACGGGUAGCCGGCCUGAGAGGGUGACCGGCCACACUGGGACUGAGACACGGCCCAGACUCCUACGGGAGGCAGCAGUGGGGAAUAUUGCACAAUGGGCGCAAGCCUGAUGCAGCAACGCCGCGUGAGGGAUGACGGCCUUCGGGUUGUAAACCUCUUUUAGCAGGGAAGAAGCGAAAGUGACGGUACCUGCGGAAAAAGCACCGGCUAACUACGUGCCAGCCGCCGCAGUAA
rnacentral:rRNA from 1 species